rnacentral:rRNA from 1 species
ACGGGUGAGUAACACGUGGGCAACCUACCCUAUAGUUUGGGAUAACUCCGGGAAACCGGGGCUAAUACCGAAUAAUUUAUUUCAUCUCAUGGUGAAAUACUGAAAAACGGUUUCGGCUGUCGCUAUAGGAUGGGCCCGCGGCGCAUUAGCUAGUUGGUGAGGUAACGGCUCACCAAGGCGACGAUGCGUAGCCGACCUGAGAGGGUGAUCGGCCACACUGGGACUGAGACACGGCCCAGACUCCUACGGGAGGCAGCAGUAGGGAAUCUUCCACAAUGGGCGAAAGCCUGAUGGAGCAACGCCGCGUGAGUGAAGAAGGAUUUCGGUUCGUAAAACUCUGUUGUAAGGGAAGAACAAGUACAGUAGUAACUGGCUGUACCUUGACGGUACCUUAUUAGAAAGCCACGGCUAACUACGUGCCAGCAGCCGCGGUAAUACGUAGGUGGCAAGCGUUGUCCGGAAUUAUUGGGCGUAAAGCGCGCGCAGGUGGUUUCUUAAGUCUGAUGUGAAAGCCCACGGCUCAACCGUGGAGGGUCAUUGGAAACUGGGAGACUUGAGUGCAGAAGAGGAUAGUGGAAU